AUUGAACGCUGGCGGCAGGCCUAACACAUGCAAGUCGAGCGAGCGGCGGACGGGUGAGUAAUGUAUGGGGACUGCCCGAUAGAGGGGGAUAACUACCGGAAAAGGUGGCUAAUACCGCAUACUAUCGGAUAACCCAUAUGGGAUUAGCUAGUAGGUGGGGUAAAUGCUCACCUAGGCGACGAUCGCUCGAUGUUCUGAGAGGAUGGUCAGCCCCGCGGUGACGUAGACACGGCGCAGACUCCUACGGAGGCAGCAGUGGGGAAUAUUGCACAUGGGGCGCAAGCCUGAUGCAGCCCUGCCGCGUGUAUGAAGAAGGCCUUAGGUUUGUAAAGUACUUUCAGCAGGUAGGCGUUACCCGCAGACGAAGCACCUGCUAACUCCGUGGCAGCAGCCGCGGUAAUAC
rnacentral:rRNA from 1 species